GACGAACGCUGGCGGCGUGCCUAAUACAUGCAAGUAGAACGCACAGUUUAUACCGUAGCUUGCUACACCAUAAACUGUGAGUUGCGAACGGGUGAGUAACGCGUAGGUAACCUGCCUGGUAGCGGGGGAUAACUAUUGGAAACGAUAGCUAAUACCGCAUAAUAUUAAUUAUUGCAUGAUAAUUGAUUGAAAGAUGCAAUUGCAUCACUACCAGAUGGACCUGCGUUGUAUUAGCUAGUAGGUGAGGUAACGGCUCACCUAGGCGACGAUACAUAGCCGACCUGAGAGGGUGGUCGGCCACACUGGGACUGAGACACGGCCCAGACGCCUACGGGAGGGAGCAAGAGGGAAUCGUCGGGAAUAGGCGAAAGUCUGACCGAGCAACGCCGCGUGAGUGAAGAAGGUUGUCGGGUCGUAAAGCUCUGUUGUAAGGGAAGAAAGGGUGUGAGAGUGGAAAGUUCACACUGUGACGGUAUCUGACCAGAAAGCGACGGCUAACUACGUG
rnacentral:rRNA from 1 species